AUUUUUGUAAAUCAAGCUAUGAGUGUUCCUCAGGGAUGUAACUCCUCUAGCUUCAGGGAAUACGUAAGUAAAUGUUGCAGCUGAAACGAUAGAAUUUUGUGGGUCCUCUUCUGCAGUUAGGCUGCUGUGUUCUUGGCAACAACAUUCUCAGGUCACUUUUCAGGCAGACUGAAUCCCCAUUCUCGUUCCUGGAGCAGCCACCUGAACACUAGAGUUGGCAUGGAGAAGGACACCAGCCUUCCUCGUUUCAGUGUCAGCGCAGAUUGUUGUUGAAUUGACAAGACUGCACAAGUGGACUCUAACUUUUCCUGCCAGCGAGGAUUUGGGAAGACAACAACGGACCAAGGAAGGACCUCUUCUUUCAAGAAAAGAGUCAGGUGAAGGACUGCUACGUCUGACUGCAGCCACCAGUGAUAGAUAGAGAUCUGUCUGAAGAAGGUGAAGAAGAUCACUGGGUGAUUCCACAGACAUGGGGGAAGUCGUGGAGGAAAAUGAUUCAUUUCGUUGCUGUGUGUGGG
rnacentral:lncRNA from 1 species